rnacentral:rRNA from 1 species
UGGAGCAUGUGGUUUAAUUCGAUGAUACGCGAGGAACCUUACCAAGGCUUAAAUGUAGAUUGACAGGUUUGGAAACAGACUUUUCUUCGGACAAUUUACAAGGUGCUGCAUGGUUGUCGUCAGCUCGUGCUGUGAGGUGUCAGGUUAAGUCCUAUAACGAGCGCAACCCCUGUUGUUAGUUGCCAGCGAGUCAAGUCGGGAACUCUAGCAAGACUGCCAGUGUAAACUGUGAGGAAGGUGGGGAUGACGUCAAAUCAUCACGGCCCUUACGCCUUGGGCUACACACGUGCUACAAUGGACGGUACAGAGAGCAGCCACUACGUGAGUAGGAGCGAAUCUAUAAAACCGUUCUCAGUUCGGAUCGGAGUCUGCAACUCGACUCCGUGAAGCUGGAAUCGCUAAGUAAUCGGAUAUCAGCCAUGAUCCGGUGAAUACGUUCCCGGGCCUUGUACACACCGCCCUCAAGCCAUGGAAGCUGGGGGUACCUGAA